rnacentral:tRNA from 1 species
GCCUCUAUAGCUCAGUGGUAGAGCACUGGUCUCGUAAAUCAGGGGUCGUGAGAGGCA